GAUGAACGCUGACAGAAUGCUUAACACAUGCAAGUCUACUUGAUCCUUCGGGUGAUGGUGGCGGACGGGUGAGUAACGCGUAAAGAACUUGCCCUGCAGUCUAGGACAACAUUUGGAAACGAAUGCUAAUACCGGAUAUUAUGUGAGUUUCGCAUGAAAUUCAUAUGAAAGCUAUAUGCGCUGCAGGAGAGCUUUGCGUCCUAUUAGCUAGUUGGUGAGGUAACGGCUCACCAAGGCGAUGAUAGGUAGCCGGCCUGAGAGGGUGAGCGGCCACAAGGGGACUGAGACACGGCCCUUACUCCUACGGGAGGCAGCAGUGGGGAAUAUUGGACAAUGGACCAAAAGUCUGAUCCAGCAAUUCUGUGUGCACGAUGAAGUUUUUCGGAAUGUAAAGUGCUUUCAGUUGGGACGAAGUAAGUGACGGUACCAACAGAAGAAGCGACGGCUAAAUACGUGCCAGCAGCCGCGGUAAUACGUAUGUCGCAAGCGUUAUCCGGAUUUAUUGGGCGUAAAGCGCGUCUAGGCGGUUUGGUAAGUCUGAUGUGAAAAUGCGGGGCUCAACUCCGUAUUGCGUUGGAAACUGCCAAACUAGAGUACUGGAGAGGUGGGCGGAACUACAAGUGUAGAGGUGAAAUUCGUAGAUAUUUGUAGGAAUGCCGAUGGGGAAGCCAGCCCACUGGACAGAUACUGACGCUAAAGCGCGAAAGCGUGGGUAGCAAACAGG
rnacentral:rRNA from 1 species